rnacentral:rRNA from 1 species
UACAGAGGAGCCAAGCGUUGUCCGGAUUGACUGGGCGUAAAGCGCACGCAGGCGGUCUCUUAAGUUUCGAGUGACAGGUCAGGGCUUAACCCUGGCAGGCCUUGGAAAACUGGCAGACUUGAGGGCUUCAGAGGGACACGGAAUUCCGGGUGGAGUGGUGAAAUGCGUAGAGAUCCGGAGGAACACCGAAGGCGAAGGCAGUGUCCUGGGGAGUACCUGACGCUCGAGGUGCGAAAGCCAGGGGAGCGAACGGG